UACAGAGGUCCCGAGCGUUGUUCGGAUUUAUUGGGCGUAAAGGGUGCGUAGGCGGCGGAGUAAGUUGGGUGUGAAAUCCCGGGGCUUUAACCUCGGAAUGGCAUUCAAUACUGCUUCGCUAGAGUACUGGAGAGGAGGCUGGAAUUUACGGUGUAGCAGUGAAAUGCGUAGAUAUCGUAAGGAAGGCCGGUGGCGAAAGCGAGCCUCUGGACAGUUACUGACGCUGAUGCACGAAGGCCAGGGGGAGCAAACGGG
rnacentral:rRNA from 1 species